UUAAGCUACUAAGAGCACAGGGUGAAUGCCUUGGCACCAAGAGCCGAUGAAGGACGUGAUAAGCUGCGAAAAGCUGUGAGGAGGAGCAAAUAUCCAUUAUAUUCACAGAUAUCCGAAUGAGGAAACUCUAGUUAGGAAAAAAGCUAACUAAUCCAUACAUGAGUAAAGUAGUGUAUGUGAGGGGAACGUAGGGAACUGAAACAUCUAAGUACCUACAGGAAAAGAAAGAAAACUCGAUUCCUUGAGUAGUGGCGAGCGAAAGAGGAAGAGCCUAAACCAAGAGAAGUAAUUUUCUUGGGGUUAUGGACUACAUAAAUGAUUCAAUAGAUUUAGCAGAACUGUUUGGAAAAGCAGACCAAAGAUAGUGAAAGUCUAGUAAGCGAAAAAUCGAAAGACAUGGUAGUAUCCAGAGUAGUGCGAGACACGGGAAAUCUCGUAUGAAAAAGUGGGGACCACCCCAUAAGGCUAAAUACUACUUGGUGACCGAUAGUGGAACAGUACCGUGAGGGAAAGGUGAAAAGAACCCCGGGAGGGGAGUGAAAGAGAACCUGAAACCCUGUGUUUACAAGCAGACAAAGCACGUUAAGGUGCGAUGUCGUACUUUUUGUAGAACGGUCCGGCGAGUUAUUUUAUAUGGCAAGGUUAAGUACUAUCAAAGUACGAAGCCGAAGCGAGAGCGAGUCUGAAAAGGGCGAAUAAGUCAUAUGAAAUAGACCCGAAACCGAGUGACCUAUCCAUGGUCAGGAUGAAGCUUGAGUAAAAUCAAGUGGAGGUCCGAACCCAUAAGCGUUAAAAAGCUUCGGGAUGAACUGUGGAUAGCGGAGAAAUUCCAAUCGAACUCGGAGAUAGCUGGUUCUCCUCGAAAUAGUUUUAGGACUAGCCUUGUUUAGUAGUAUGUGGGGGUAGAGCACUGAAUGAGCUAGGGGCCAAACCAGGUUACUGAACUCUAUCAAACUCCGAAUACCAUGUACGUAAGAACAGGAGUCAGACUGCGGGAGCUAAGUUCCGUGGUCAAAAGGGAAAGAGCCCAGAUCGUCAAUUAAGGUCCCAAAGAUAUAGUUAAGUGGAAAACGAUGUGAUUUUGCGUAAACAACCAGGAUGUUGGCUUAGAAGCAGCCAUUCAUUUAAAGAGUGCGUAAUAGCUCACUGGUCGAGUGGAGUUGCGCGGAAAAUUACCGGGGCUAAACUAUACACCGAAAUUGCGGAUUCAUGAGUAAUCAUGAGUGGUAGAGGAGCAUUCUAUAGUAGGACGAAGGUAGAUCGAAAGGACUGCUGGACGAGAUAGAAGAGAGAAUGCCGGAAUAAGUAGCGAAAGCAUGGUGAGAAUCCAUGCCAUCGAAAGUCUAAGGUUUCCUGGGGAAGGUUCGUCCGCCCAGGGUAAGUCGGGACCUAAGGAGAGGCCGAGAAGGCGUAUCUGAUGGACAGCAGGUUGAAAUUCCUGCACUACCGAUACUUUAAAAAACGUCAAGGGACGCAGGAGAGGAAGGAAAGCGAGGAAGAGGAAAGACUCGUAUCGAAAGAUAUAGUGAAAAAAUGAAGUAACGAAUUUCCAAGAAUCACACUGACGAGAAAAGCUUGAUGACAUUAAGUAAAGGUACCCGUACCGCAAACCGACACAGGUAGAUGAGGAGAGGAUCCUAAGAUGAGCGAGAGAAGCAUUGUUAAGGAACUCGGCAAAUUGACCCCGUAACUUAGGGAGAAGGGGUGCCAAAGUAAAAUUUGGUCGCAGAGAAGAGGCCCAAGCAACUGUUUAACAAAAACACAGGUUUCUGCUAAAUCGAAAGAUGAAGUAUAGGAGCUGACGCCUGCCCAGUGCUGGAAGGUUAAGGGGAAGAGUUAGAUGUAAGUCGAAGCUUAGAACCAAAGCCCCAGUGAACGGCGGCCGUAACUAUAACGGUCCUAAGGUAGCGAAAUUCCUUGUCAGGUAAGUUCUGACCCGC
rnacentral:rRNA from 1 species